rnacentral:rRNA from 1 species
AUUGAACGCUGGCGGCAUGCUUUACACAUGCAAGUCGAACGGUAACAGGCCUUCGGGUGCUGACGAGUGGCGAACGGGUGAGUAAUGCAUCGGAACGUGCCCAGAGGUGGGGGAUAACGCAGCGAAAGCUGUGCUAAUACCGCAUGUGAUCUGAGGAUGAAAGCGGGGGACCAGGCAGCAAUGUUUGGCCUCGCGCCUUUGGAGCGGCCGAUGUCAGAUUAGGUAGUUGGUGGGGUAAAGGCCUACCAAGCCGACGAUCUGUAGCUGGUCUGAGAGGACGACCAGCCACACUGGGACUGAGACACGGCCCAGACUCCUACGGGAGGCAGCAGUGGGGUAUUUUGGACAAUGGGCGCAAGCCUGAUCCAGCAAUGCCGCGUGCGGGAAGAAGGCCUUCGGGUUGUAAACCGCUUUUGUACGGAACGAAAAGGCUCUGGCUAAUACCUGGGGCUGAUGACGGUACCGUAAGAAUAAGCACCGGCUAACUACGUG